rnacentral:rRNA from 1 species
UACGUAGGGUGCAAGCGUUAAUCGGAAUUACUGGGCGUAAAGCGUGCGUAGGUGGUUCGUUAAGUCUGAUGUGAAAGCCCUGGGCUCAACCUGGGAAUGGCAUUGGAUACUGGCGACCUAGAGUGCGGUAGAGGGGUGUGGAAUUCCCGGUGUAGCAGUGAAAUGCGUAGAUAUCGGGAGGAACAUCUGUGGCGAAGGCGACACCCUGGACCAGCACUGACACUGAGGCACGAAAGCGUGGGGAGCAAACAGG